rnacentral:rRNA from 1 species
UACGUAGGGUGCAAGCGUUGUCCGGAAUUAUUGGGCGUAAAGGGCUCGUAGGCGGUCCAUCGCGUCGGGAGUGAAAAGCUGGGGCUUAACCCCAGUCCUGCUUUCGAUACGGGUGGACUAGAGGUAGGCAGGGGAGAACGGAAUUCCUGGUGUAGCGGUGAAAUGUGCAGAUAUCAGGAGGAACACCGGUGGCGAAGGCGGUUCUCUGGGCCUUACCUGACGCUGAGGAGCGAAAGCUGGGGGAGCAAACAGG